rnacentral:rRNA from 1 species
UACGUAGGGUGCAAGCGUUACUCGGAAUUACUGGGCGUAAAGCGUGCGUAGGUGGUUCGUUAAGUCUGAUGUGAAAGCCCUGGGCUCAACCUGGGAAUGGCAUUGGAAACUGGCGACCUAGAGUGCGGUAGAGGGUAGUGGAAUUCCCGGUGUAGCAGUGAAAUGCGUAGAGAUCGGGAGGAACAUCUGUGGCGAAGGCGACUGCCUGGACCAGCACUGACACUGAGGCACGAAAGCGUGGGGAGCAAACAGG